rnacentral:rRNA from 1 species
GUUUAUGGCCAUACCAACCCUGAAUGUGCCUGAUUGUGUCUGCUUGCGGAAGCUAAGCGGGGUCGGGCCUGGUUAGUACUUGGAUGGGAGAUUCAUUUUAAAAAGAGAAUCAUUGAUC